UGGUCAUUACCAAGGCUUUUAGAACAGUUUUCUCAUCUGUCAUGGAUGUGACCACAAAACAUUUUCCCACUGGGUUUUCUCUCUGCUACGGUGCUAGCACUCAGCCUACUGGGGGCACUU